rnacentral:rRNA from 1 species
UUUAUCUGGGGGAUAGCCCGGAGAAAUCCGGAUUAAUACCGCAUAAAAUCACAGUACUGCAUAGUACAAUGAUCAAACAUUUAUGGGAUGAAGAUGGGCAUGCGUGUCAUUAGCUAGUUGGCGGGGUAAUGGCCCACCAAGGCGACGAUGACUAGGGGAUCUGAGAGGAUGACCCCCCACACUGGUACUGAGACACGGACCAGACUCCUACGGGAGGCAGCAGUAAGGAAUAUUGGUCAAUGGAGGCAACUCUGAACCAGCCAUGCCGCGUGCAGGAAGACUGCCCUAUGGGUUGUAAACUGCUUUUAUCCGGGAAUAAACCUUUCUACGUGUAGGAAGCUGAAUGUACCGGAAGAAUAAGGAUCGGCUAGCUCCGUGCCAGCAGCCGCGGUAAUACGGAGGAUCCAAGCGUUAUCCGGAUUUAUUGGGUUUAAAGGGUGCGUAGGCGGCCUGUUAAGUCA